AUGUUUGACAUCUCGUCCUACCUGCCUUUUCUCAGUGAACUGACUCUUUAUGGUUUGGAAGAAUGUGAUAGUCUUCCUCCAUUCGUGGCACUGCCGAAUUUAAGAAGCAUAUCUCUAUACAACAUUCCCAAGAUUAGAAAAAUUGGCAAGGAAUUCUAUGGAGAGGGCAGACCUUGUAUGAAACUAAGAGUACUGCGAUUGGAGUUGAUGGAGAAUUUGGAGGAAUGGUGGACAACAGAGUCAAGUAAAGAAAAUGAAGAGUUUCUAAUCCCUAAUUUGCAUUAUUUGGAGGUAGUGAACUGCCAAAAGCUGAAGUUCCUGCCAUAUCCCCCAAGAAGUAUGUUUUGGUUUUUGAGCAACAACGAGACAGUUUUGCCUGAACGAGGAUUUGGAAAGCUCUUGUCUUCCAUUCUUUCCUUCUACGAUGGUUCUAGAGAGUUGUAG
rnacentral:rRNA from 1 species